CAGUAGCCACGGUAAUACGUAGGUCCCGAGCGUUGUCCGGAUUUAUUGGGCGUAAAGCGAGCGCAGGCGGUUAGAUAAGUCUGAAGUUAAAGGCUGUGGCUUAACCAUAGUACGCUUUGGAAACUGUUUAACUUGAGUGCAGAAGGGGAGAGUGGAAUUCCAUGUGUAGCGGUGAAAUGCGUAGAUAUAUGGAGGAACACCGGUGGCGAAAGCGGCUCUCUGGUCUGUAACUGACGCUGAGGCUCGAAAGCGUGGGGAGCAAACAGGAUUAGAUACCCCCGUAGUCCCUGUCUCUUAUACA
rnacentral:rRNA from 1 species